rnacentral:lncRNA from 1 species
CAUGCUAGGCUGUUUUUGUAGACAGGUUGUGGCUUACAGAAUUCUGAUAGGUGAAAUCGUGUUGAGAACCCUGACUCCAGGAAUCACUGAGCUGCUUCCCUGAAACCAAAAUAGCAGCCCUGGGAUGGAGACAAAGACUCUAACUGGGCAUAUUUCCUUGAACAAUUAUGACUUCAAACCGGAGCAGUGACCCAUCUUCUCAACAAGUGUUUCUCAGAUGUUCCAUUGAAAGUCUACAUUUUUCUUGAUUUCUCCCUUCUCUGUUUCAUUUCUCUUCCUCCUUUAGACUCGUCCCAAAUUCUGCCAGGGAAUUCCCCUCUGCCCUGUCUCUCCACCAAUAUCCAUUUUUCAUUAUCAAGGAGUACAGAGGACAUUCUUUUCUCUUCUGCCUGGUUCUCCCAAACGCCCAGCAGUGUGUUACCAAAUCUACGUAGCAGAAUGUUACAUUGGAAGUUUUAGUUGAGGCACCAAGAUUCAAGACAGACCAGAUUCCAAAGGAGGUACCAUAAGCAAAAUUUUCAAAGAACUUGUCUAGAACGUGGUUUCCCGACUUUUAAAUCCCUUGCCUCCAAUGAGGCUAUAAAAGGACUGGGUGGUUAGAAAAUUGGGAGAGGGUAUUUUUGGAGAGAGCUGUUGGCGUGCUACAAGUCCUCACCCACCUUCCACGGAGAAGGACUAAGGCUUGGGCCCAGCAGCACGUUAAAGGAGAACCUGGUGCAUAUUUUCCACAGCCAAGGACCCGAUAGACUAGGAUCUGACAAUUGCUUGAGCAAUUGAGUAGGUGGGAGUUAAAUAGAGAUGGCAGCUGGGGAUUGGUCUCCAUUUCCAGAAUAUGUCCAGGUAACAAAAGCAUGAGACUUUACUAGGAAUAAGAUGUGGAUUAUGUGGGGCUGAAGGUGGAAGGCUGACCUAGAGCCGUUUUAACUCCUUCCCAGUAGCCUACCAGAAAUGGCUAAGGAAAUCAAAGUGAGAGGCCAUGUAGACAGGAUUGCAAAAACCUGAGGGCUGAAGGUGAAGCGACAGCCUGAGGAAUAAAGUGCAUUGCUCAUGGCUCAAGGAGCUGCUUUAGACUGAAUGUUUGUGUCCCUGGAAAAUUCAUAUGUUGAAACCUAAUUCCCAAUGUGAUGGUAUUUGGAAUUGGGUCUUUCAGAAGUGAUUAGGGGCCUGGACGCAGUGGCUCGUGCCUGCAAUCCCAGCACUUUGGGAGGCAGAGGUGGGCGGAUCACCUGAAGUCAGGAGUUCAAGACCAGCCGGGCCAACGUGGUGAAACCCCGUCUCUACUAAAAAUACACACACAUACACAGCCAGGUGUGGUGGCC